UAUGCAUGAUGUGACCCUAAAGGACAGAUGAAAUAAGAUAACGCACGUUCACGCGGAGAGGGGGUGCGAUUUCAGACGUGGAUUCCAUUUUCGGCACGACACCGGCAAAUACUAGUAUCAGCAUUAAGUUAAAAAUAGUGAUUGAUUAUUGAACACCGAAGGACCAGCGCGCAAGAACACGCCGUGAACUGCGACAGAGGUGGAGACGCUCCCCCUGUCUGUUUAUGUCACGUGCUAUGCGUCACGCCCACGUUGAAUAGCUGAUCAGAAUAAACCAAGGGGGGAGAGAAUCACUACUGUCUUCACCAGAGAAGGAGAAAAUGCCACCUUACCGUGUCACCUGGAUCCUUCGAACCUGAAGUCUCCAGCGUUUGACUGGAAGAAAGGCAGCCAGGAGGUAUUCAUGUACCAACAUGGCAUGCCUGAUUAUACAACCGGCAAGGUGGGACAAGACCCCAAGUUCGAGGGAAGGGUGAGGCUGGUCCCAGGGGGGCUGCAGGCUGGAAAGGCCUCAGUGAUCUUGUUUAAUGUGACCGAGGAGGACAUCGGAGUAUACAAGUGUAUCCUCCUGCCCCAGGAACGGACAAGUUGGAUCGAUCUGAAAAUGGUUGUGGAUCCUCAGUUGAUGCUGACUAUCGAAGAGGCUCCACUGUCUGCAGGCUGGGCCAGUCUAUCGUGUGUCUCUACAGGAGGUCACCCCCAGCCCAGGGGUCUGGAGUGGAUGAACCAGGAUGGAGCUGUGAAGAAUUCAACAAACUCAACACACGGUAGAGGCCACUACCCUCUGCAUCUGGACCUGAUUGUGAAAGAGCCAGGGAACUACACCUGUCUUGCCUUGCAGGGAGAUGUUAAACCUGCUAGCCGUGCAAUCCAAUUAUUUGGCAAUUGGCAGGCGUCGGCCGGCCAUUUUGUAUGCGGGAUCCUUGGUUUCAUUUUAUUUUUCGUUGGGGUUUCAAUCUUUUAAUCGGUUUCACAUACAAUUAUUUAAAACCUCAAUCCAG
ensembl:lncRNA